UCUUUUCUUUCCCUUCACCUCAUCGCCGCACGAUUCCCUUCUCUUCCUCAUUCCCGAUCUCCUCCUCCCCUCUCAUCUUCACGCUGCCGCGACCAGCCCCUCCUCACUCGAUCGCCGCCGGUGCAGUCCUCAGCCGGUAACGUGCUAGCGACCUUGAAGCUGCAGCACCACCUCCUGAUCUUGCUGACGCCGAGCUUGUGAUCGCCAGCCCCUCCUUUGUGUGAGGCUAGGGCAACGACUCCGGCUGCGUGAGAGCAGUUGAUGCUCUCCCUCUCGCGACGCUCUCUACCUUCUCUCUCGGGCUUGGACGACCCGACGCUGACGGCUUCCCUAGCGAUCUCGUCCUCGUCGCACCUCCGGAGGAACGCGGAUAGGUCUUAAUGUUCUGAUGUUGUUCAGACCAUCUCCAACGGAGCGAUCGCCUCUUCGGCGGUUUUCUUGCUCGGGAUCGAUGGUGGUUCGGCAACUAGGGCAUUGCAGGAAGCUUGCCUUGUGUUGUUCAGAGCCCUUCGAUCCCCUCUGAUCCUUCUUCUUGAUCUCCUCACUGGCGGAUGAUUUGUUGCUCCACAUCUGGUGGAUCGAAGCAUGUGACACCACCAGGAAGAGUUUAAUCGAGGAAAGCAUCGGAUCAAAGUAUGGUGGAGGUCCCUAUUGUCGAUCAUUACCCUCUCCAAUUCCUGAAGUGUGGAGGCCACGGGUGAGGAUGGAAGGUUUGUUGAGAUAAGGACGGUGAAUCGAGGCGAGCGACUCGAAGUGGGGGUUGUAUUUUGCACGAUCUACAUUUA